rnacentral:piRNA from 1 species
GGUGGUAGUUUGCCUGGCAUGCAUGAAG